UUAUAAAUAGUUUAAAUAAAACCUUACUUUUUCGUAGUAAUAAUAAAUAACAAUUAUUUUUUA
rnacentral:tRNA from 1 species